UAGGGGAAGUCUUCCACAAUGGGCGCAAGCCUGAUGGAGCAACACCGCGUGAGUGAAGAAGGGUUUCGGCUCGUAAAGCUCUGUUGUUAAAGAAGAACACGUAUGAGAGUAACUGUUCAUACGUUGACGGUAUUUAACCAGAAAGUCACGGCUAACUACGUGCCAG
rnacentral:rRNA from 1 species